AUUGACACGGUAAGGAUUGACGGACUGAAGGCUCUUUCUCGAUUCCGUGGAAAGUGGUGCAUGGCCGUUUUGGUUGGUGGAUCGAUCCGUCUGGUUAAUUCCGUUAACGAACGAGACCUCGGCACUCCGAAUAGCGCGGCGGACGUCGCGGCCUCCGGGCCGUCUUCCGCACGAGCUUCUUAGAGGGACCGUCCCCCGCCGGGGAAGGAGGUGCGAGGCAACGACAGGUCUGUGAUGCCCUUAGAUGUUCUGGGCCGCACGCGCAUUACACUGACGCGUCCAACGGGUGACUCCCGACCCGAAGGGGCCGGGGAAUCCGCAAGGCGCGUCGUGAUGGGGAUUGAACGUUGCAAUUGUUGUUCACGAACGAGGAAUUCCUAGUAGGCGCGGGUCAUCAACCCGCGCCGAUUACGUCCCUGCC
rnacentral:rRNA from 1 species